rnacentral:misc_RNA from 1 species
AUGCUAUUUUGAUUAGGAACUGCAACCAUACUAGUCUUAGUUUGUGUACAUCGGCUUUUCUGCGACUUUUAAUAAUUUUUGGCUGUUUACGUUGUAAUAUGAGAUAAUUUCUUCUGUCUAAUUGAUGCUAGAUCUUAGCCGUAAUUAAAGGUAUUGAAAAAUUUGCCUAAAACUUUUCGAUUGCACAAUUACAGUACAAAAACGCUAUAAAACGUGCGAAUGAAGUCAGCUGAUUGGUAAUCAAUGCUACUUUAUUACAUCAUUUCGUUUUUUUUACAGAGAAAAAUGGAAAUACGUGACAAAAAUGAAAGAGAGGCUGUUGAAAGUUUGCUAUCUCUCUCUGAUCCUGGUUCGCUAACGCCUCCGCACUCGGAUGAUGGAUCAGAGGCCAUGUAUCCAAAAUCAAAUAUGAUGAACUUGGCUGCCAAUGUCACAUGGAAGCCACCAAGUCCACCACCCGAUAUUCAUCCUCUUAUACCGAAAAAACGAUACAGAAAUAUAAAUUUGGAUGAAUUCGCUGCCAAUGAUAGUAGUCAUUCCGCAAUCUCCCCUUCACCUUCCGUUUCCAGUACCCCAAUAAUUACAGUGCUCGUUAAAAAAUCAAGUGAAAAUCUGCUUCGAAAUUUUCGGCCUAUUGCUCCAGCUCCUCCAGGAGGAUCACAAGAUGAUAGGAAAAUAGAUACUCAUCCCUCCAUAAAGAAACGCUCUUUCUUAUGUACAUACAAAGAUUGUAAAAGAUCUUACAGUAAAAGUUCACAUUUAAAAGCUCAUUUUCGAGUUCACACAGGUGAGAAACCCUAUAGCUGUCCAUACGAAAAAUGCGACAAAAAAUUCUCAAGAUCAGAUGAGCUCUCCAGACACAAGAGAAUGCAUACGGGAGAAAGAAAAUUUGAGUGUAGAAUAUGCGGGAAGCGCUUUAUGAGAUCAGACCACCGCAGUAAACAUUUAAAAACUCAUUCAGAUUGAUUUUUUGGUGUUUCUUUUCUAGUUUUGUUAAGAAAAUAAUCCAGAUACUUUAUUUUACUUUUAUUCUAUUUGAAAUUUAAUGUAUGUUACGUCUAUGCUAGAUUGUGUGACGUAAUAAAAUUAUCAGUGAUAUAUUCUAUAUAUACUGUAUACUAUGUAUAUAACUUGAAUAUAUCAUACAAUUAAUUCUCUUAUCAACCGAGUAUCUAAUGUAUUUAAGCCAACUGUGAAAAUUUCCAUUAAAACUGGAAAGAGAAUUCAUCAAGUGCAAUUAUCAAUGAGACUCUAGCUUUUUAUGGAUUUACAAAGACAUAUGUUCAGCUUGCAACAAACGAAUUCAACGGAUUAGAUCUAUGAAAGAAAAACUAUUAAAAGUAUUCUUAAUUCAAAUACUAUCGACUUAUAAUAAGUAAUAAUAUACUAAUAUUUUAAAACAUUAAAUAAAUUCACUUAACUAUGAUACUAAAUAAAUUCUGUAUGAACAAUUAAAAAUCAAGUAUAAUAUAGAGUUUUCAUCUUAUCACAACAGAAACCUUUCUAAUGUUCCUUAAAGAUAAGAUCUACUACAUGUAAAGAAGAAGUUUUGUCCGAGAAUAAACUCUAAAAUAGUGUUAAGCAUCUUUAAAUUCUAUUAGGAAAUUGUAUAUUGCAUUCUUAAAAAAAAAGAGAAAUUUCAUUAUAGGUUCCUUUAGUUGUUGUUGUUUUUUUGUUUAAUCUAUGUUCUUUUGUGUCAUAGAAUACUUUAGUUUUUUCCAGUUUAUUUAAAUAGUUGUCAAUGUUGUCAAUUAGACACAAAUAAAUACAUUUUGAUCGGAAUAUAUACACUUAAAUUUUAUAUUAGACCUUAUAUGUCCUUAGAACUAAAAUAUAUCAAGUUC